rnacentral:lncRNA from 1 species
UGUCAAAGAGCUAAAGUUUAGGAGGUCUCUAUAAAUUUUAGGGAAAACUUCAAAAACCCCCCCUGUGGUUUCGUGCAUUCUCACUUUGCUACCCUGUGGUUUAAAACGUAUCAAUUUACCCCCUGUGGUUUCAUUUUUAUCUUUUCGGAAGCUUUUUCGUUAAUAUUUCAUUAAAUUAUAUACAAAAAACUUCAGAUAACCAUCUAUAUUUAUCGAAUAGUCACUUUAGUAUCCUUUAAUUUUAACUUUGUCACUGAUUUUAAAAAAU